AUUGAACGCUGGCGGCAGGCCUAACACAUGCAAGUCGAGCGGGGUUUUCGGACCUAGCGGCGGACGGGUGAGUAAUGCGUAGGAAGCUGCCCGAUAGGGGGGGAUACCAGUUGGAAACGACUGUUAAUACCGCAUAAUGUCUACGGACCAAAGUGUGGGACCUUCGGGCCACAUGCUAUCGGAUGCGCCUACGUGGGAUUAGCUAGUUGGUGAGGUAAUGGCUCACCAAGGCGACGAUCUCUAGCUGGUUUGAGAGGAUGAUCAGCCGCACUGGAACUGAGACACGGUCCAGACUCCUACGGGAGGCAGCAGUGGGGAAUAUUGGACAAUGGGCGCAAGCCUGAUCCAGCCAUGCCGCGUGUGUGAAGAAGGCCUUCGGGUUGUAAAGCACUUUCAGCGAGGAGGAAGGGUGGUGUGUUAAUAGCACAUCAUUUUGACGUUACUCGCAGAAGAUGCACCGGCUAACUCUGUGCCAGCCGCCGCAGUAAGAC
rnacentral:rRNA from 1 species